rnacentral:rRNA from 1 species
UACGAAGGGGACUAGCGUUGCUCGGAAUCACUGGGCGUAAAGGGUGCGUAGGCGGGUUUUUAAGUCAGAGGUGAAAUCCUGGAGCUCAACUCCAGAACUGCCUUUGAUACUGAGAAUCUUGAGUAUGGGAGAAAUGAGUAGAACUGCGAGUGUAGAGGUGAAAUUCGUAGAUAUUCGCAAGAACACCAGUGGCGAAGACGGCUCACUGGCCCAUAACUAACGCUGAGGCACGAAAGCGUGGGGAGCAAACAGG